rnacentral:rRNA from 1 species
UUAGGUUGUGCCCUUGAGGCGUGGCUUCCGGAGCUAACGCGUUAAAUCGACCGCCUGGGGAGUACGGCCGCAAGGUUAAAACUCAAAUGAAUUGACGGGGGCCCGCACAAGCGGUGGAGCAUGUGGUUUAAUUCGAUGCAACGCGAAGAACCUUACCUGGUCUUGACAUCCACAGAACUUUCCAGAGAUGGAUUGGUGCCUUCGGGAACUGUGAGACAGGUGCUGCAUGGCUGUCGUCAGCUCGUGUUGUGAAAUGUUGGGUUAAGUCCCGCAACGAGCGCAACCCUUAUCCUUUGUUGCCAGGGUCCGGCCGGGAACUCAAAGGAGACUGCCAGUGAUAAACUGGAGGAAGGUGGGGAUGACGUCAAGUCAUCAUGGCCCUUACGACCAGGGCUAC